AAAGUCUAAUUAAAAGUAAUUGCCUAGAUAAGACAAUGUAUUAGACAUAUGCUGAGUCUUGAUGAUUUUCAGUGUAUAGAAAGACUCUAAUCUUUCUUUGGGGUUUUUAUAUUAAGCAAUGUAUGAGUAGAUUGAUUUUAUAUCAUCAAUUUAAAUACGUGU